rnacentral:tRNA from 2 species
AGAAAUAUGUCUGACAAAAGAAUUAUCUUGAUAGGAUAAAUAAUAGGGGUGCAAAUCCCCUUAUUUCUA